rnacentral:rRNA from 1 species
AAUGGACGAAAGUCUGACGGAGCGACGCCGCGUGCGGGAUGAAGGCCCUUGGGUUGUAAACCGCUGUCAGAGGGGAUGAAUCAUGGUUGGCUAUCCUUCCAUGUUGACAGAGCCUUAGAGGAAGCACGGGCUAAGUACGUGCCAGCAGCCGCGGUAACACGUACUGUGCAAACGUUAUUCGGAAUCACUGGGCUUAAAGGGUACGUAGGCGGUUUAGCAAGUCAGAUGUGAAAUGCCACAGCUCAACUGUGGCACUGCGUUUGAAACUGCUAGGCUAGAGUAUUUCAGGGGUGUGCGGAACUGCCAGUGGAGCGGUGAAAUGCGUUGAUAUUGGCAGGAACACCGGAGGCGAAGGCGGCACACUGGGAGAUAACUGACGCUGAGGUACGAAAGCCAGGGUAGCGAACGGGAUU